rnacentral:rRNA from 1 species
UGGGGAAUCUUGCGCAAUGGGCGGAAGCCUGACGCAGCAACGCCGCGUGCGGGAAGAAGGCCUUAGGGUCGUAAACCGCUUUCAGGGGGGACGAAGCUUCCGGGGUUAAUAGCCUACGGGGUGACGGUACUCCCAAAAGAAGGUCCGGCUAACUACGUGCCAGCAGCCGCGGUAAUACGUAGGGACCGAGCGUUGUCCGGAAUCAUUGGGCGUAAAGAGCGUGUAGGCGGCUUGGUAGGUCUCGUGUGAAAUCCCGCGGCUCAACCGCGGACCCGCACGGGAAACCCCCAAGCUCGAGUCCGGAAGAGGAGAGUGGAAUUCCUGGUGUAGCGGUGAAAUGCGCAGAUAUCAGGAAGAACACCCGUAGCGAAGGCGGCUCUCUGGGACGGUACUGACGCUGAGACGCGAAAGCGUGGGGAGCAAACAGG